rnacentral:rRNA from 1 species
GACGGAGGGCGCAAGCGUUGUUCGGAAUUACUGGGCGUAAAGCGCACGUAGGCGGACUAUUAAGUCAGGGGUGAAAUCCCGGGGCUCAACCCCGGAACUGCCUUUGAUACUGGUAGUCUCGAGUCCGGAAGAGGUGAGUGGAAUUCCGAGUGUAGAGGUGAAAUUCGUAGAUAUUCGGAGGAACACCAGUGGCGAAGGCGGCUCACUGGUCCGGUACUGACGCUGAGGUGCGAAAGCGUGGGGAGCAAACAGG